UACGGAGGGUGCAAGCGUUAUCCGGAUUCACUGGGUUUAAAGGGUGCGUAGGCGGGCAGGUAAGUCAGUGGUGAAAUCUUUGGGCUUAACCCGAAAACUGCUAUUGAUACUAUCUGUCUUGAAUAUUGUGGAGGUUUGCGGAAUAUGUCAUGUAGCGGUGAAAUGCUUAGAUAUGACAUAGAACACCUAUUGCGAAGGCAGCAAACUACGCAUAUAUUGACGCUGAGGCACGAAAGCGUGGGGAGCGAACAGG
rnacentral:rRNA from 1 species